AAAUAAGCCAUGUACUAGAAAGCAAAAGUAAUGGAAUUUUUUUUUUCUUUUAAAGAAACCUCAUAAAUCAUCACACUAUCAUUGAUUACAACGAUGCUUAAAUAAUGUUGGUAAAAUUUUAAUUAAUAUAAAAAAAUCUUAUGUACUAAACAGCGAAAUUAAUGGAUUAGAGAUAGUUAUUUUGGGAAGUCAUAGAAAGUUACCGUAUUAUUGACACUAAUGCUAUAUUGAUAUUAUUGCUAAAAAGCAAAGUUAAAGGAGAAAAGGUAAACUGGAAAUUCAUUUAGGAGAACUGUAGAAUAUCGCCAUUCUAAGCUUAAUUAUUGUGUACUACAGACUACUUGGUAAUUGGUGCAGUUUUGAGAAGAAUUUCCAUAGUUUCAGAAAAUAUUUUUUCCAGUGGUAGCGAAGACAAUGCAUUAGUAUUUUAAUGAAUUAGCAAUAAAAGAACUUUUCCGCAACAACUUAUAUUUUAAUAGUAAAUAAAAGGGCUGAUAUAGAAAUGGCCAUGCUCCAAAAUCUUUUUCAAGUUUUAACAACAGUUCUAUUUAAAAAAAAAAAAAAAAAUUCGGAUUUAGUUGGUUGCCACUGACAAUUGUAUUUUUCACUAAAUUCAAAUGUUGAAGGAUUAUGUAAGAAGUAUCUGAUAUACUAAUAUAAGUAUAAAAUAUUAUAUUGAUAGAUAUAUAGUUAUUAUUAAAACAGCGCCAAUACUAAGCAAUUUUAAUAGCGAUACUUUUAAAAUAACUGUUUUACGGCCCCUCGAAAGGGAUAUGUUCAUGAGAAUAUUACUUGCUCUUAUUAAAUUUUAACUAUUAUGAGUUGACUGCGAGCAAUAGUAUCAUGCCAAGUGAUGCUAAAAACAUUUUAUAGUUAUUCGAAUGGGAAGAACUAAAAAAAACAAA